rnacentral:misc_RNA from 1 species
UUCGCAAGAGGAAAGCGCUCACCAUGUCCGCCGCUUCCAAGUCGAUCGACGUGAUGCUGAAGCCGCUCCUGGUCGGCGGGCGGCCGAUUUCGAACCGCUUCGUCAUGGCUCCGCUGACACGCUGCCGCGCUGACGACAACCACGUGCCCACCGCCGCGAUGGUGAAGCACUACUCAGACCGCGCCUCCAUGGGUCUCAUCAUCACGGAGGCAACGCAGAUUCAAAAAGGCUACUCUACCUUUGCGCACGAGGGUGGCAUCUACGACAAGGAGCAUGUGGACGGCUGGAGGAAGGUGACCGAUGCGGUGCACGAUAAGGGUGGCAUCAUCUUCUGCCAGAUCCACAAUGGUGGCCGCUCCACAGUGCCGUCGAACGUGGACGAGGGCGUGCGCAUCGUUGCGCCAUCUGCGGUCGCCAUCACCGGCCACAAGUGCGCCGGCUCCUUCGCGCGAAACGGCAAGACGCAGCCGUACCCUGUGCCCCAUGCGAUGGCUGCAGAGGAGAUCGCUAGCUACGUGAGCCUGUACGCGGCUGCUGCUCGCAAUGCGAUCGCGGCCGGGUUCGACGGUGUAGAGGUGCACGGCGCGAACGGGUACCUGAUUGACCAGUUCCUCAAGACCAGCUCGAACCAGCGCACGGAUGAGUACGGCGGCAGCAUCGAGAACCGGUGCCGUUUCCUGUUCGAGGUGCUGGAUGCCGUAAUCCAGGCGAUUGGCCGCGAGCGCGUUGGUCUCCGCAUCUCGCCUCUCAACAGCUUCAACGACCAAAGCGACGAGGACCCGCAGGCGCUGACGCGGUACAUCUGCUCGCAGCUGAACUUGCGCACGAUUGCCUUUCUGGACGUGAUGCGCGGUGACUUCUUCAGCCCUGCGCGCGGUGCGGACAAGUGGGCACGCGAGGAGUACGAGGGCGUGUUGUUCACCGGCAUGGGCUUCGAGAUCGAGGAAGCAGCGAAGGCGGUAGAGAGCGGUGCUGCCGAUGCUGUUGUGUUCGGCACUAAGGCUCUUGCAAACCCUGACCUGGUUGCACGGGCGGUCGCUGGUGCGCCGCUGAACAAGCCUGAUCCUGCGACGUUCUACACUACUGGCGAGGCAGGCUACAACGACUACCCGUUCAUGGAGCGCUCUCCUUGCCUGCCCGCUUCCCCGUCGGGGGCGCAGGAGGCGCCACAACAGUAACAGGGGGGCUUCGGCUCACAUGAAGCACAAUUUUUCACGGCGGCCACUACAUGGCACAUAUGAGAAGAGAUCCAUGGGUGGAUGGAUGGGUGGGUGAGUGGGUGUGUGUGUGUGUGGGGGGGGGGACGGUUGUCUGGCGAUGUGCCAAGGAAGGCUGUACACUGACGGGAGUGGGUUUUCGGACGCUUUCGGUGUCCUUCCGCAGCAAACGGGAGAAAAGCGAGCAACAGUGGCGAAGAACCCGCGGUCGUCCUCGUCUGGCGGCUCUUUCUCUCUUUCUCUCUUUCCUGUCUGACCACACCGUACCACACCACCGCCCUCCUUCUCUCUUUCUCUCGCGCGCCUCUUCCUCUCUCGUUUGCCUGUGACCGGCAAUAUCUCCCGUUGUGCGCGCGCAUGUGGGGAG